rnacentral:rRNA from 1 species
AGGACGAACGCUGGCGGCGUGCCUAACACAUGCAAGUCGAACGGAGGUAGCAAUACCUCAGUGGCGAACGGGUGCGUAACACGUGAGAAAUCUGUCUAUCGGCGGGGGAUAGCCGGCCCAACGGCCGGGUAAUACCGCGUACGUCGGCGAGAGCGCAUGCUCAUGCCGGGAAAGCAGCAAUGCACCGAUUGAGGAUCUCGCGGCCUAUCAGCUUGUUGGUGAGGUAACGGCUCACCAAGGCUACGACGGGUAGCUGGUCUGAGAGGAUGAUCAGCCACAUUGGGACUGAGACACGGCCCAGACUCCUACGGGAGGCAGCAGUGGGGAAUAUUGCGCAAUGGGGGAAACCCUGACGCAGCGACGCCGCGUGUGGGAUGAAGGCCUUCGGGUUGUAAACCACUGUCGCGAGGGACGAAGAUCGUGACGGUACCUCGAAAGGAGCACCGGCUAACUCUGUGCCAGCAGCCGC